GACGAACGCUGGCGGCGUGCUUAACACAUGCAAGUCGAACGGAAAGGCCUCUUUCGGGGGGUACUCGAGUGGCGAACGGGUGAGUAACACGUGAGUAACCUGCCCUUGACUUUGGGAUAACUUCAGGAAACUGGGGCUAAUACCGGAUAGGAGCUCCUGCUGCAUGGUGGGGGUUGGAAAGUUUCGGCGGUUGGGGAUGGACUCGCGGCUUAUCAGCUUGUUGGUGGGGUAGUGGCUUACCAAGGCUUUGACGGGUAGCCGGCCUGAGAGGGUGACCGGCAACAUUGGGGCUGAGAUCCGGCCCAGACUCCUACGGGAGUCAGCAGUGGGGAAUAUUGCACAAUGGGUGGGAGCCUGAUGCAGACACGCCGUGUGCGGGAUGACGGCCUUCGGGUUGUAAACCGCUUUCGCUCAUGACGAAGCUUUGUGUGACGGUAGUGGGUAAAGAAGCUCCGGCUAACUCCGUG
rnacentral:rRNA from 1 species